rnacentral:rRNA from 1 species
UACGUAGGUGACAAGCGUUAUCCGGAAUUACUGGGCGUAAAGGGCGCGUAGGCGGCCUUCUAAGUCGAACGUGAAAUCCCCGGGCUCAACCCGGGAACUGCGUCCGAUACUGGAAGGCUUGAAUCCGGGAGAGGGAUGCGGAAUUCCAGGUGUAGCGGUGAAAUGCGUAGAUAUCUGGAGGAACACCGGUGGCGAAGGCGGCAUCCUGGACCAACACUGACACUGAGGAGCGAAAGCCAGGGGAGCAAACGGG